rnacentral:lncRNA from 10 species
GUAAGACGCUCACGGGCGCGCGGACUAUCGGGCGGCUAGGCUCUCUGAGGAGGCUGCCACAGUGAAGCAACCGUGACAAGUGGUGCCCGACCAGGGACCUGAACGAGGAAGGUCUGCCAGAGCAGAGAAAGUGAAACUGAUCAGACGAACUACGAACCCCUGGACGGGAGAGUCUGCCGGCGGAGAAUAUAAGUCUAUAGGAUCGGGUGAACCACCAACCGGCAAUUGAAAGCUGCACAGCCUGAAAUUACCUUUAUUCAAUUAAUGCAAAAACAAAAGGGGAGAUGUUGGAGGCCGAAGGAAUGAGGGUCGUGACCAACUCAGUAUACCACUGGAGGCUCUGUGAGCAAACAGCAAACUGUUCUCAUGAAAGCAGGAUGUUGGCGAACUGACAAACUCUGUCUGCCGCCAGAAGGAAUGCUGGGGGCAGUCAUGUCCCAGGUCCCGUGCUCCUUGAGGUUAUCCACAGGAACAUCCAGAACCUGUUGAACAAAGAAAGGAAUCAUGUGGGCCUGUGUUAAAUCAAAUAGCUGACCGACAGUUAUCCCUUCCUCCCUAUUCACUCUACCUAAUAAAUAUGAAGGGCUGUAAAAGCUCAGGUCCCUGUUCCCUAAUAUCAAGGAGCCCCCUGACCCCUUCUUUCAAACAGAUCCUUUUGUCUGUCUCAUUUCUGCAUUCGUCGUCCUUCGUUCGGUCCAGAAGCAACCGCGACAGUCCUGCAUGUGUUGAUGCCACCUGUAUGUGCAGGUGUGACCUCAGGUGUGUGAGUAUCCCUCAUACCCCUUAUCAUCACUGCCUAUUCGCUCUUCCUCCAGCCUCUGGCAACCACUAAUCCACGUUAUAUGUCUAGAUUUGCCUCUUCUGGACACUUCAUAUAAAUGGAGUCAUACAAUAUGUGGUUUCUUGUGUCUGGCUUUUUACCACUGAACGUUUUCAGAGUUCAUCCAUGUUGUAGCAUGUAUCAGUUUUUCAUUCCUCUUUAUGGCUG